rnacentral:rRNA from 1 species
GAUGCACGCUAGCUAUAGGCUUAACACAUGCAAGUCGAGGGGAAACGAUAGAGAAAGCUUGCUUUUUCUAGGCGUCGACCGGCGCACGGGUGAGUAACGCGUAUCCAACCUGCCCACCACUUGGGGAUAACCUUGCGAAAGUAAGACUAAUACCCAAUGAUAUCUCUAGAAGACAUCUGAAAGAGAUUAAAGAUUUAUCGGUGAUGGAUGGGGAUGCGUCUGAUUAGCUUGUUGGCGGGGUAACGGCCCACCAAGGCGACGAUCAGUAGGGGUUCUGAGAGGAAGGUCCCCCACAUUGGAACUGAGACACGGUCCAAACUCCAACGGGAGGCAGCAGUGAGGAAUAUUGGUCAAUGGGCGAGAGCCUGAACCAGCCAAGUAGCGUGCAGGAUGACGGCCCUAUGGGUUGUAAACUGCUUUUAUAAGGGAAUAAAGUGAGUCUCGUGAGACUUUUUGCAUGUACCUUAUGAAUAAGGACCGGCUAAUUCCGUGCCAGCAGCCGCGGUAA